rnacentral:tRNA from 1 species
CAGAAGAUAGUUUAUUUAAAAUGCCGGUUUUGGGGGCCGGUGAAGUAGGCUUGGUCUUACUCUUUUGA